UAGAGAACUCUCAAGGCAGCUGGACUGUCCCCUGUGGGAUGCCCCUGCAUGGUCCUUCCUUAGCAAUGUGAUGUCCUAGUUGCCAUGGAGAGAAAAUGUGGGGUACAGAGUGGAAUACCAGCAAAGAAAAUGAUCUUUCCUGGAAAUGAUACCAACAUUUGUGCCAUACUUCUAGGAGGCAGGAAUGCACCUUCUCACAUACCCAGAGGAAGAGCAGGACCGGUAACCAGUGAACUGAACUCAUGUCUGCCGACAUCUCAGCUCCGUGACUUGAUGAUGGGAGCAGCAGCUCAGGGCUGCCUUCCAGAACUAACUUUAAACAUAACUGAAGAAGAGGAACAGCUCCACAUCUUACCAUUCUUCACAGACAUGGUUUCCAUAGAAUACAGAAGCCAGAGAGGAUGCCAAAAAUCACAGAGAAACUGGGAAGAAAAGUACGUCACUCAACUUUGAGGAAUGAAGCAGAAAUGACAUGGGUUCAUCUUCCUGCACCCUACCAGGGAAUCCAUUGUACCUAUGUUUGCCCCAUAAAAGUGAUGUUGAUUUUGAUCCCUUGAUCAAAGUGGAGCUUCUAGUCUUCUCACAGUUGCAUUCUGGUCUUUGUAAUUUACAAGGAUUUUGUGAGGCCACAUUUUGAGACUCUGUAGUAACCCAUUCCUCAUCAGUAUUUCCAAUUAAUUGAUUAAUAUCAGUGCGAUUUCAUGAAUUAUCAUUUUAUUCAAUGGUUAUUAUCUGCUACUGCCAUCUCUUCAUGUUCGUUUUAUCUAAGAUUUUUGCCAGAGAGAACAGCUUCAGGAUGAUUUCUGUGUCCUUAUGACAAGUCCCUGUCAUUCCUUGAGCCGUUCCUUAUUUUGUGGCAAAUCAGAAGUUCCCAGUUUCUUGGCUACUUUUGCUUUGCCCAUCCUGGAAUCAGUCAUUGGGGCAGGGAGCUGUGGAGGAGCUUGGUUUUCAGAAACCAAGGCAUGGCUGCUACCAAGGACACUACUAAUCUCACUGCCGUCUUGAUAGACAGGGCAAGGGAGUAAGUAUAGGUGAAUACAUACAUGCAUAUAUACAUGUACACACACUUAUAUCUGUCUUUGUUCUUUAUUUGACUAUAUAUACUGAAAAACCAUGAGGUCACUUAGUAUUGCCAAUUCCCACUCAAUGCUACAGUUUUCAUACUAUUGUUAUUCUCUUCCAUUCUUUAAGGUCUUUUCCCAUAUUAGCCCCAUUAUUCUUAGUUUAUUUACUCAUUUCAUAGGCUUGUUCACAUAACCAGUCCCCUAUUGCUGGUCCUCAUCCAUGCUCUCAGACCUAGACAUCUCCCCAAGGCCAAUUCUGAGGGUACCAUCACCCUCUUGCCAUCAUGCAUGUUUCCUUCCAGGAUGCCAGCUCUAAGAUCUCACACUGGGCCACUACAUGCAGGUUACCUGGCCCUUUGCAGUUGGAUUUAUGUGUGCGGGGAGAAAGAGGGAAGAAAGGUAAGAUAAACUGAAAAGAGAUGAGGAGGAGA